rnacentral:rRNA from 1 species
UCCAGACUCCUACGGGAGGCAGCAGUGGGGAAUAUUGCACAAUGGGGGAAACCCUGAUGCAGCGACGCCGCGUGAGUGAAGAAGUAUUUCGGUAUGUAAAGCUCUAUCAGCAGGGAAGAAAAUGACGGUACCUGAUUAAGAAGCCCCGGCUAACUACGUGCCAGCAGCCGCGGUAAUACGUAGGGGGCAAGCGUUAUCCGGAUUUACUGGGUGUAAAGGGAGCGUAGACGGUGAUGCAAGUCAGAAGUGAAAGCCCGGGGCUCAACUCCGGGACUGCUUUUGAAACUGUGUGACUGGAGUGCAGGAGAGGUAAGCGGAAUUCCUGGUGUAGCGGUGAAAUGCGUAGAUAUCAGGAGGAACACCAGUGGCGAAGGCGGCUUGCUGGACUGUAACUGACGUUGAGGCUCGAAAGCGUGGGGAGCAAACAGGAUUAGAUACCCUCGUAGG